CCAGCACCCCGAGUGGUCGGGACGAUUAUUGGGCCUAAAGCAUCCGUAGCCGGUUCUACAAGUCUUCCGUUAAAUCCACCUGCUUAACAGAUGGGCUGCGGAGGAUACUAUGGAGCUAGGAGGCGGGAGAGGCAAGCGGUACUUAGUGGGAAGGGGUAAAAUCCGUUGAUCCAUUGAAGACCACCAGUGGCGAAGGCGGCUUGCCAGAACGCACUCGACGGUGAGGGAUGAAAGCUGGGGGAGCAAACCGGAUUAGAUACCCGGGUAGUCCCAGCUGUAAACGAUGCAGACUCGGUGAUGAAUAGGCUUCGUGCCUAUUCAGUGCCGCAGGGAAGCCGUUAAGUCUGCCGCCUGGGGAGUACGGUCGCAAGACUG
rnacentral:rRNA from 1 species